rnacentral:hammerhead_ribozyme from 1 species
ACACUGCUGACGAGCCCCGAACAGGGCGACACAGCUGUCCAGUUU